UACGUAGGGUGCAAGCGUUAAUCGGAAUUACUGGGCGUAAAGCGUGCGCAGGCGGUUCGCUAAGACCGAUGUGAAAUCCCCGGGCUUAACCUGGGAACUGCAUUGGUGACUGGCGGGCUAGAGUAUGGCAGAGGGGGGUAGAAUUCCACGUGUAGCAGUGAAAUGCGUAGAGAUGUGGAGGAGUACCGAUGGCGAAGGCAGCACCCUGGGCCAAUACUGACGCUCAUGCACGAAAGCGUGGGGAGCAAACAGG
rnacentral:rRNA from 1 species